rnacentral:rRNA from 1 species
CAGUCGCCGCGGUAAGACAGAGGAUGCAAGCGUUAUCCGGAAUUAUUGGGCGUAAAGGGCUCGCAGGCGGUUUCUUAAGUCUGAUGUGAAAGCCACCGGCUCAACCGGGGAGGGUCAUUGGAAACUGGGAAACUUGAGUGCAGAAGAGGAGAGUGGAAUUCCACGUGUAGCGGUGAAAUGCGUAGAGAUGUGGAGGAACACCAGUGGCGAAGGCGACUCUCUGGUCUGUAACUGACGCUGAGGAGCGAAAGCGUGGGGAGCGAACAGGAUUAGAUACCCCCGUAGUCCCUGUCUCUUAUAC